AGAAUCUUCGAAUUUGGAUGCCCGAGUCGCUGAUGCCACAACACAGAGGAGGAACAACCUUUCUGAAUUGCACUAAGAGCCUCUUGAUUUGUGCCUUCCAACGAGAACUACUAGCACAUCUUUUAAAUUUAAGGUCCCAUCAUUAGUGACAAACAUGCAUCACCGGUGUGAGAAAUAGUGGCUCCUGAGUUGACUAUGAAUGACUGAUCAUUGGAAUCAUUAAGGGUAAAGGCAGCAAGUGCUUGAGGAAGAUCUUCAGAUUGGUAGGAGUAAUCAAAGCGAUACCAACAAUUAA